rnacentral:rRNA from 1 species
UUUUUCUCGCGGCGGGGUGUUUAGACUGCCGAAGGCUACCGCUAAUGAGAGUCGAAUAAGCCCAUGCGAGUCUAAGGGAUCUUCGGAUCCUGGCGUAUGCUCAGUAACACGUGGAUAAUCUACCCUCAGGUGGGGCAUAAACCCGGGAAACUGGGGCCAAUUCCCCAUAAAUACAGAUGGCUGGAAUGCUUCUGUAUUCAAAGCUCCGGCGCCUGAGGAUGAGUCUGCGGCCUAUCAGGUUGUAGUCAGGGUCAAGACCUGACUAGCCAGCGACGGGUAUGGGGUGUGAGAGCACUUGCCCAGAGAUGGUUUCUGAGACACGAAACCAGGCCCUACGGGGCGCAGCAGGCGCGAAAACUUCGCAAUGCGGGAAACCGUGACGAGGGAACUCCGAGUGUCUAUGCAUUGCAUAGACUGUUUUUUAGCCUAAAUAGCUAUUAGAGUAAGGGGUGGGCAAGACCGGUGCCAGCCGCCGCGGUAACACCGGCACCCCGAGUGGUAGCCACUAUUAUUGGGCCUAAAGCGUUCGUAGCCGGUUUGGUAAAUUCUUGGGUAAAUCGUACCGCUCAACGGUGCGGAUUCCGGGGACACUACCAGACUUGAGACCGGGGGAGAUCAGAGGUACUUGCGGGGGAGCGGUGAAAUGUUGUAAUCCCGCAGGGACCACCAGUGGCGAAGGCGUCUGAUCAGAACGGCUCUGACGGUGAGGAACGAAACCCUGGGGCGCAAACGGGAUUAGAUACCCCGGUAGUCCAGGGCGUAAACGCUGCUGACUUGGUGUUGGGGAUCCUACGAGGAUGUCCAGUGCUGGCGCGAAGGUAUUAAGUCAGCCGCCUGGGGAGUACGGUCGCAAGACUGAAACUAAAGAAUGGCGGGGAGCACUGCAACGGGCGGAGCGUGCGGGUUUAAAUUGGAUCCAACCGCCCGAGGAAU